rnacentral:rRNA from 1 species
GUAGGUGGCAAGCGUUGUCCGGAAUUAUUGGGCGUAAAGGGCGCGCAGGCGGCGUCGUAAGUCGGUCUUAAAAGUGCGGGGCUUAACCCCGUGAGGGGACCGAAACUGCGGUGCUAGAGUAUCGGAGAGGAAAGCGGAAUUCCUAGUGUAGCGGUGAAAUGCGUAGAUAUUAGGAGGAACACCAGUGGCGAAAGCGGCUUUCUGGACGACAACUGACGCUGAGGCGCGAAAGCCAGGGGAGCAAACGGGAUUAGAUACCCCGGUAGUCCUGGCCGUAAACGAUGUCGACUUGGAGGUUGUGCCCUUGAGGCGUGGCUUCCGGAGCUAACGCGUUAAGUCGACCGCCUGGGGAGU